ACGGCGAGUGAAGCGGCAAAGCUCAAAUUUGAAUCUAGCACCUUCGGUGUUCGAGUUGUAAUUUGAAGAUGGUAAUCUUGGGUUUGGCUCUUGUCUAUGUUCCUUGGAACAGGACGUCAUAGAGGGUGAGAAUCCCGUCUGAUGAGAUGCCCAUUCCUUUGUAAGAUACUAUCGAAGAGUCGAGUUGUUUGGGAAUGCAGCUCUAAGUGGGUGGUAAUUCCAUCUAAAGCUAAA
rnacentral:rRNA from 1 species